GGCGCCGGCCUCACUGUGUCUCCUAUA
rnacentral:piRNA from 1 species